rnacentral:sRNA from 1 species
CGAUUAAAUCAAGUUGUGCAAGAAGGAUAAUGCUCUGGCCCAUCGCACAACUGUACUUAUAUCCAAUGAAAUGCCAAAACUAUGUAGGAAACCCUUCCCGAAACACUGAAUCCACGAAUUAGUGCCACUUUUGAGAGCCAGUCGGCCGUGUAAAGAGGGCUAUAACGCUCGCACUUUGUACCUGGACUGCGCUAAUGGAUCGGAACCCAAGAAUGAUAUAAGCACGAGAAUGAGUUGACAAAUCUAACGAUUCCCGGAUGAAGUUACAGAUUCUCUUAAGGUCAAUAUAUAUAUUAGGAUGAAUGCUUGGCAUAUAAACCUAACCUUCAAAUCUAUUUUAAAUAUGCAUAUGGAUAGUCUGUUUCCGACUUGUCAAAUAAAUAUAAAUUGAUUUUGAAGUGAAAUCGAAUAAAUGUUCGUUUUGCAAUUCACCAUAAAGUAAUUUUAAUAAAUUAAUGUGUAUUAUGUUUAAGUGUUUGGAGUAGUUCAAAUAGAAAUAUUGUGAGUGAAUUGCACUUAGAAUUUCUCAAAAGAGGAAAUUCAAUCAAUUUGCGACACACAAUGAAGCAAAUCCGAAAGAGUCAGUGCGUCUGAACCGGUCUAAUCACAGAAUGCAAAUCGCAGCGAUUCCUCCAUUGGAAACUGGACACCGGGUGACAAGAGGAAAUUCCAGGAAGAGAGUGCAUACAACUGCCAAGUGCUUUCGAAUUCAAAUUCGCUUGGGCCACGUCCAUGUCGCCGUCCAGAAGCCCGUGUCCCCGCUCCUCCCCCGGAAUUAUGCCAACCAGAACCAUUCUCAUUCUGAGUCGGUUCUCCAUGUCCAUGUCCACGGGCCCAGACCACGCUCAAAUGUUCAAAUGUCCAAAAGAUUCGCUUGGCUGCGUAUCAGUUAGUUGCGCGUAAUGCCCAAAGUCAUUAUGGCAAAAAUCGCAAAAAGACUAAACGUUAAAAAUGCUGAAAUUAAAACUAUAUAUACGAAUUAUGAAAUUGUUUAUCGGAAUAAGGCGAUGCGAGGCACAAAAACGGCCAACUAGCGAUGACAAUAUGGAAACUGGAAACAAAAGUGGCAAAAAGUUAAGCUAAAAUACAAUUACAAGAUUAGAAACGAUUUUAUGAAACAUUUAAAUACUGCAAAUGGGCAUUGUUUUGGAGUUAAAAUUUUUUAUAAGCUUAAAUCAUUUCGGGUUCAGUGGUUGAGUUCACUCAUUGCUUAAUCAUUUCAUAGGCCAAAAUCGCAUCAAUUUAGAAG